GGCGGGGCUGCUCGCAGCCAGGGGCGGAGCUGAGCCCGCCAGCCUGAGGAGCCGGUGGCACCUGAGGGAGCGCAGAUGGCGGUUUCCACACGUGGCGCAGUUUUAACGAACAUGUGAGGCGAGCAAAGGCAGCGCCUGUGGAAAAACUACUUCACACACGCGGCACCCUACUCCAUCCCCCAGGGCGACGGCUUGGGGUUUUCUGUCGCCGCCUGUCGCUCAGUCCAUGUCUCCCUCCUCCCCCCGGCCCCCAGGCCGGGGCUCUCGGGACAGGCGUCCGUGCGUGCGAAGCCCACCGGCACGCGGCCACAGCACGGUGUGCGCCUGCGCCUGGCGUCGCGCCGGGGCGGGGCAGCCCAGGCGAGGGCGUGUCUCCCGCGCGGCGCAGGGGGCGGAGCCUCGGCGCCCCGCCCCGCCCCUCCGGGGACUGACCUGCCGGGGCGCCGGGCCGGUGACGUCAGCCCGCCGUGACGCGCGCUGUGGGAUAACUAAUUCAUCAAAAAGAUUCAUCCUGUGCCUUAUGACUCUGCAGGAACCUUGGGAAAGAGAUGAGGAGGAAUGGAAGGCACGGCUCAUCCAACACUGCAGUUUUGAAGCUGGAAGACAUCUGCUAAGUCAGGCUGCUUCAGGUACGUUUGUCUUCCAGAGAUUCUGAUGGAAAUAACCCACAAUCCUCAUGCAAGACUAGCAAAAUAUUUUAGAGUUAAACGUGCGUGAGUGGCGACAAGCAAAUCCUCAGUUGAUGAAACACAAGAAGCCUUUGACAGCAGAAAGCAAGUAAAAGCCGUCGUUCUCUGCAGAGUCCACGUAUGCUUACAAUCUCACAUGUGGUUUCUGCUUAUAAUCGCACGGAACUUUCUAGUUGAGAGCCAGGGAAGUUCCUGUUGAAGUGCAGUACGACAGAAUGCAGAAUCCUCCAUUGGUGCCACCCAAGGAGCAAGUUAACCCGUGUCCAGCCAUGGCCUGAAAAUACUACAUCCAGGAGUCAGCAGUUGAUUAGUCUUGAAGUGCACGCUGUUGUGAGCAGUGUGAUACAAUCCUGUGCCGUCGGCCUCCAUCCCACCCGGGACGUGAAUCAUCCCUCUGUCCUGCGGGUCCGUGCUGUGCGCGUCCCUACGUGGCCGUCUCAGCUGUCAGUGUGGCCUGUAGAUGGGGCUGUGUGUGUGUACUGCUGUACAUAUGUAUUCACGCAUGCACAUGUGUGCACCUGCUCAUGUGUAGAGAGAAUAUUUGCUUCUACAUCUCUGUGACCUGUUUCUUCCCAUUUGAAAAGAAGCAUUAAAAAUAUCCCCUUCAUAUAAUGUCUAAAACUUUCUAAAAUCAUGAUUCUCUUAAUAGAAGCCGCUGGAGCUUUCAGGAAGAGCCAGAGUCCUAUGUUAAUAAAGAAUAAUUAUCCUCACUGUAAAGGCCUUAAAUAUUGGGGGGGGGGGGGCAUCCAUCUUUCUCCUGCCCCUGCUUAGUCUGUUCACACAAGGCAAGACUUGACAGGUGUGUGUGUGUAAAAAAUGAUAUUGUUAAUGAUGCAAAACAGGGCUGCAUUAGCAGAGGACACAGCUUUUUCGUGAAGGAGGCUCUUUGCUCUAACAAACCAGUCAGCCAAGCCAAUCCUCUUCGAUCUCUCUGCAAUAAGAAAAAAACAGUGGCAUCCUGACUCUUGAGAGCCCAGAAUCCGGGUUUGACCUCGACUGCUUCACCUGCAAAUCUAUAAAAUGAAGCUACACCCCACCUGAUAGGAGUGGUGCCGACUGGAGGAGAUCAUCUGUGCAGAUCACUGUGUGUGUGUGGAUGGCACAGCAGGCCCGUGGAAGGCAGCAGCAGCCGCGUCUCUCUUGAUGACUUUUUUUUUUUUUUUUGACAGGCAGAGUGGACAGUGAGAGAGAGAGACAGAGAGAAAGGUCUCCCUUUGCCGUUGGUUCACCCUCCAUUGACUGCCACAGCCGGCGCGCUGCGGCCGGCACACCGCUCUGAUCCGAAGGCAGGAGCCAGGUGCUUUUCCUGGUCUCCCAUGGGGUGCAGGGCCCAAGCACUUGGGCCAUCCUCCACUGCACUCCCUGGCCACAGCAGAGAGCUGGCCUGGAAGAGGGGCAACCGGGACAGAACCCGGCACCCUGACCGGGACUAGAACCCGGUGUGCCGGCACCACAGGCAGAGGAUUAAUCUAUUGAGCCAUGGUGCCGGCCUGAUGAUUCUUCUUAACACCUGGGCUUUCUUCAUCUGCGGAGGCUGAUCAAUAGGAUGGGUGUGAGCGUGCCUUCUACCUUAGAAAGCCAGGCAUGAGCCAAGGGACCCAUGGAGAAUAGGCAGGGGACAGACCCCUUGGCUUGGUUCUGGUCCAGGCAUUGCACCCCAGGGAGAGUAAGAGCCCUUGGAAUUCCCAUAAAAUCAAGCCCUGACUCUAGGUUGAGAAAGGAGAUGAGAGUGGGAGGAGAGAGGGCAGGGGGAAGGAGGAGCGUGCACUUGCGGCGAGUCUUCUCUGGAAUGCUCAUGUGUCUGUUGGAAGGUUAGCACAGGGGGAGGUAGAGGAUCCGGGGUCUGCAAGUUCAGUGUCACAGCUGGCGUCGCCUUCCUCAUCUGAGCAGGCCAGGAGAGCUGUGCUUCCUGACAAGAGAGAAUAACAGACCAAGUGGCGUGGUCUCCUUUCCCACAUCUGCCUCCAACCAGCUGAGAAACCUCAGCAAAACAUUUUUCCCCUAAGCCUCAAUUUCCCUGUUAGCAAAGUCAGGAUGCCAGGGACACUGCUGUCGGGAAAUAAGGCGCGCACAUCAGCACUCACACCUCUCGCCUCCUUCACUUCUCAUCCGGCCCGGCUCUGCUUUGGCUUCUGUGUCUGCCUCUCUGGGCUCCCCCAGGAACUUAUUCACCUCCAUUGACAUGGCCAGAAAAUGAGGCCCCUGGAGCCAACUGCAGGGUGCAGUAGCUCUGGUAACUUCCCCAUCCAUCUUGGCGGGGUUGAAAGAUGCUUAAGUUUCAAACCAGGAAUUUGACAGACAGGGAGAUGUAAUAGAUAAUAGCUAAAUGAGCUCAAUCGAUCAGGCGCCUCCAGUGUGAGUCACCCUACCUGCAGCGCCACAUCCUUUUUACUUACUUAUUUAUUUUUGAAAGAGCCACGGAGAAAGAUAGAGGGAGAGAGAGAGAGAGAUCUUCUGUCUGCUGGUUCACUCUCCAGCUGGCUGCAACGGCCAAGGUUGGGCCAGGCCAGAGCCAGGAGCCAGGAGUCAGGAGUUUCUUCCAGGUCUCCCACAUGAGUGCAGGGACCAAGGACUUGGACCAUGCUCCGUUGCUUUUCCCAGGCCGUGAGCAGAGAGCUGGAUUGGAAGUGGAGCAGUCAGGGCACCAACCGGUGACCAUACUGGGUUCCAGUGUUGCAGGUGGUGACUUUCCCCGCUACACCACAAUGCCAGCCUUGUCACAUCCUUUAUUUUUUUUUCAAUCCUCAUAGUAAGUGGAAAUUAAUCUAUAUUUUGAGUGUUAAGGAAAAUUAGUUACUUAUGUCAAGAUCCAGUAAAUGACUGACCAAAGAUUUUGAACACAGCGAGGAAGAGCCAACGGGAUUAUAAGCAGAGAAGACGAAUGAGAAAUUUCCAGUUCCUUCUAAAUGUUUUCUAACUUCAGACACAGAGAUUUAACAUUGUAACAUCACUGCAGGGUGAUUUAUUCUAUAUUUUACAGCUUGCGCUGUGAUUUGGUGUUAUUGUUAUUCCUUCCUGUGUGAGAGAAUAUGACUUACAAAAUCCCGCGCAGUUAUUGAGACUUAUUUCAUUCCCACUUUCCAUCUCAUGCUUACAGAAUUUAGGAAAUUCGAUUGACAGUUUUCCCAAAUCAUUUUUUAAUAGAAAUGUAAGGAUAUGUAUUUUGUGUUUGAAAAGACUAAAUUGUGGUCCAAAAUAAACUUUUUCAACAAAAAGGCACAGAAACAUAAGGCCAGCUAUAGUUGUGAUGUCCACAUUAGAGUUGUUGAAGGAACGACAAAGUGUGCGCCGCAGCAGUUGGAGACACAAGGGAACACAUUGGCACUCCAGGUAGUAGCACUCACACAGGUGCAGCACGGUGCUGCGUGCUUCCCUUGUUUCUGAUGUGCAACGAAAGAAAAAUCCACUGUAGCUCAUGCCAGCCGAGUGUGCCUUGGAUAGAGCAAGACGAUUCUUCAGUUCCUACACGGUUGGUUA